UUAAUUCGAUACAACACGCAAAAACCUUACCAGCCAUGGACAUAUGAAUAAAAAAACAUGUCCUUAAUAGGAUGGUACUGACUUUCAUACAGGUGCUGCAUGGCUAUCGUCAGCUCAUGUCGUGAGAUGUUUGGUCAAGUCCUAUAAUGAGCAAAACCCUCGUUUGUGUUGCUGAGACAUGCGCCUAAGGAGAAAUUGCCACCGAUAAUGUGCCAGCUCUACUACUUGAUUGAGUGCCAUCACGUAGUUGUGCU
rnacentral:ncRNA from 1 species